UAACAAGGAUUCCCCUAGUAACGGCGAGUGAAGCGGGAAGAGCUCAAAUUUGAAAUCUGGCAGUCUUCGAUUGUCCGAGUUGUAAUCUAUAGAGGCGUUUUCCGUGCCGGACCGUGUCCAAGUCUCCUGGAAAGGAGUAUCAAAGAGGGUGAUAAUCCCGUACUUAACACGACCACCGGUGCUCUGUGAUACGUCUUCUACGAGUCGAGUUGUUUGGGAAUGCAGCUCAAAAUGGGUGGUGAAUUCCAUCUAAAGCUAAAUAUUGGCGAGAGACCGAUAGCGAACAAGUACCGUGAGGGAAAGAUGAAAAGCACUUUGGAAAGAGAGUUAAACAGUACGUGAAAUUGUUGAAAGGGAAACGAUUGAAGUCAGUCGUGUUCUUUGGAUUCAGCCAGUUCUGCUGGUCUACUUCCUUGGAACGGGUCAACAUCAGUUUUGUCCGGUGGAUAAAGGUAGUAGGAAUGUGACUUCUCCGGAAGUGUUAUAGCCUAUUAUCACAUACACUGGGUGAGACUGAGGACUGCAGCUCGCCUUUAUGGCCGGUCUUCGGACACGUUCGAGCUUAGGAUGUUGACAUAAUGGCUUUA
rnacentral:rRNA from 1 species